UACGUAGGGUGCAAGCGUUGUCCGGAAUUAUUGGGCGUAAAGAGCUCGUAGGCGGUCUGUUGCGUCCGCUGUGAAAACUCGGGGCUUAACCCCGAGCCUGCAGUGGAUACGGGCAGACUAGAGGUAGGUAGGGGAGAAUGGAAUUCCCGGUGUAGCGGUGAAAUGCGCAGAUAUCGGGAGGAACACCGGUGGCGAAGGCGGUUCUCUGGGCCUUAACUGACGCUGAGGAGCGAAAGCGUGGGGAGCGAACAGG
rnacentral:rRNA from 1 species